AGACCAUGAUGUGGACACAUCCUCAUCAUGUCUUUGUAUCUCUCCCACGCGUCGUAGAGAGAUUCUGCAUCUUUUUGUCGCAAUCUGUUGAUUUGAUCUCUCAACAU